rnacentral:rRNA from 1 species
UUUCCUACGGGGGGCUGCAGUGGGGAAUAUUGGACAAUGGGCGCAAGCCUGAUCCAGCCAUGCCGCGUGAGUGAUGAAGGCCCUAGGGUUGUAAAGUCCUUUCGGCGGGGAAGAUAAUGACGGUACCCGCAGAAGAAGCCCCGGCUAACUUCGUGCCAGCAGCCGCGGUAAUACGAAGGGGGCUAGCGUUGCUCGGAAUCACUGGGCGUAAAGCGCACGUAGGCGGCUUGUUAAGUCAGGGGUGAAAUCCUGGAGCUCAACUCCAGAACUGCCUUUGAUACUGGCGAGCUUGAGUUCGGGAGAGGUGAGUGGAACUGCGAGUGUAGAGGUGAAAUUCGUAGAUAUUCGCAAGAACACCAGUGGCGAAGGCGGCUCACUGGCCCGAUACUGACGCUGAGGUGCGAAAGCGUGGGGAGCAAACAGGAUUAGAUACCCCAGUAGUCAUC